rnacentral:sRNA from 1 species
AAUUGAGCACCAUUAUAUGCCAGGCACUGUUCUAGGACACUAGAACAAGACAAAGGCCCCUGUCCUUGAAGAGCUUACAGUCUACUGGUGCCAAGCCUUAUAAAGAAAAUAAUGCAGAAAAAAGAACAGAGAGCUAUUUUACAUGGGGUGGUCAGGGACUUCCUUGAGGGAGGGAAGAAUGUUCCAGGCAGGGGCAACAUCACAAGCAAAGGCACUAAGGCAGGAACUGGCCCUCAAGUGUUGAAAGAAAAGCAAGGAUACCAGUUUGCUAGACCCGAGUGGCAGCAAAUGAGAUCAGAGAAGCUGACAGCGCCCAGAUCAGGUGUGGAAGGCCAGGAGAAGGACAGCGAUGGGAAGCCUCAAAGGAGACUGAGCAGGGGGGUAACAUGAUUGGAGACAGGGGUCCCCUCCACAGCACCCCUGCUGGAUAGUCCUGUCCAGGGACAGGAUGCUCCCCCAAGACAGCCCACUCUUUUGCUGGGCAAAUCCGAUACAUCCAGGGUCUUCCUUAGAUGCAGUACAAAUCUGCCUCCUGCAAGCUUUCACUUGCUGGUGUUUAUUCCACCCCAUGGGGAAUGCAGAGCACGGACAGUCACACAGACUGUCCUCUCUGGCCUUCUGGACCCAACAUACUCCUCUUGCCAACUGGGUAUUACUGGACCUUACUGGGCCUUAUUGGACCCAACAUACUCCUCUUGCCAACUGGGUAUUAAACAUUUUAAAACCCCUUCAUCUCCCACCACAAGUCAUGUACUGCCAACAGGGACACACUGUUUUCUUUGGAAACCCUGCUGUGUGCCCAGACAGAGGUCCCACUGCCCUGGGACAGCUCCCUUGCCUAGAGGGGAAGGGUAGGGUGUGUGUGCAUGUGUGUGUUUGGGGUUGGGGAGAUUAGCUGAUUAGCAGGGCAGGAAAGAAAUGAAAGAAAAUUUGCAAGUCAUCCUGAUGAAAUGAAAUCCUGCUGAAGUCUUCUCUUUCCCACACUGAGGGUGUCCCUGCAGGAAUGGGACAUUGCACCCAGCUGGGCAUGGGGAGGAGGUCCUGUCAACAGGGACAGGGCUGCAGGCUAUGGUGGGAGAAGAGGGCUUGGUAAAUGUGGAAAGGUGAGGGUGCCCUGGCCAGAUCUCACUGCCCACUGUCUUCACACCCACCGCAGGCUCCCUCAACCUCCUGGUGCGGUCCCGGAACAAAGGGGCUCUGGACACGCACGCCUGGUCCCUCAGUGGCAAUAAGGGCAAUGUGUGGCAGCAGGCCCAUGUGCCCAUCAGCCCCAGUGGGCCCUUCCAGAUUAUUUUUGAGGGGGUUCGAGGCCCGGGCUAUCUGGGGGAUAUUGCCAUAGAUGACGUCACACUGAAGAAGGGGGAGUGUCCCCGGAAGCAGACGGAUCCCAAUAAAGUGGUGGUGAUGCCGGGCAGUGGAGCCCCCUGCCAGUCCAGCCCACAGCUGUGGGGGCCCAUGGCCAUCUUCCUCUUGGCGUUGCAGAGAUGAUGAGAGCUGUGUGGCCACCCCCCCAACCUUGCCCCCGGCACGCCAAAGUGUCCACAUUGUACCAAAGACUGACCCCCGCCAGCUGGGGUGCCCAGGGGCAGGGCCGGCCCGCCAGGGAGGGGGCCUGCAUUGGCUGCAAGGAUGAGCAGAGAACAAGGACAGAGGCCAGGCACUGAGGCCCUGGAGACAGCUGUUCCACAUGCACACACGCACACACUCAUGCUCACACACACAGAGAUAUAUUAAAGCACAAGUUUCUAUCUGACCUGCCAGCACCUUCUUUACUGCAAAGACAGGGGACUUGCCUGAAUGGCAUCCGCCAACCCAGGGACCUCGGCACAACAUAGGCCUUGUCCUCGCUGCACUCGUGGUGUGCUUCUGACUUUACCCUGUCCCCUAAGUCAAGGCCGAACUCCAGCCUGGUGGCUUUGCCAGAAGGGAGCCAGAAGUGGGGCAGACAUGGAGCCCCUCCCUUGGUCAGACUCUGGGACUCCUGAGAUGGGAGAGGCAGGGAUCAGAGGAGGAACAGGUGGGACUUUGCGAGCUCUGUGACUGUCCCACGUCCAGGAGACAAGGAAGGUAGGGCACCUGCUGCACACGACUCUGUCCAGAGUGAGCACUGGAUGGUGGAGACCAUAGGUCACCCCAGAUUCCCUGACCUAUUUCUGGGACACCAUAUUUCCCUCCUCAGUGUGCACCCUUUGAAGGGACCCAGCACAGGGUCUUGGGCCUGGGCAGUCUGAAGACUGAUAACUUCCCCACUCCACCCUACAAGCAGUGGGACUCCUGAGAACACAGUUCCCUCCUAGCCUCAGCCUCCAGCUGGGUCUCAGAGGAGCUGGGGGAGUGGUGGCCAGCCCAUUUUCUGGGGUGAGGCUUGACUUCGAAAAAGGCAGAAGAGACGUCCUGCUUCUGUGAUUUGGUGCCCCCAUAUCAGACAAUGAAUUUGGAAGUGGAGAGGGGCCUUCAUUUCUUAUUUACUUGGCAUGAAAGGGUGCCCUGGAUAGGAGGGUGUGUACAGGGCAAAAUGCCAAAAAGUACUGUCUAGUUGAAAGUUCCCUUCUCCACCCAGGGGCAGUGAAGGAGGAGGGGCUUAUAGAGCUAGGAUUGGUGGAGGGAGCAGGUGCCAGUCCCCUCACUCUCUGGGAGCUGUGAAAGGGAUCCCUGUCCUUGGGUCCUGGGUUAGGCACCUGAGGUUGACAUGAUGGGAUCUAGAUCUUUCCUCCUUGACAUCACCUGAGCCCCCACCUAGCCAUCCAUGGGAGAGAGAAGGCCCAGCCCCUUCUAGAAUGAGUCUUUAUGCAUGCGUGCAUAUGUGUGUAUGUGUUUGUGCCCGUCUGUGUCUAGGUACCACCGUGGGUACAUUGUUGGGCAGGAGUGUGUGCAAACACAGGUCUGUGUGUGCAAUCUCACAUAUCUGCCUGUGAGACUGGAUUGAGACCCAUUCGUUUCUGUGAAUGUCCGUGUACGUUAGCGUGUGUGUCCACCUUCCUGAGUGAUGUGUUCGCUUGUAGGGUGCUGGCUGAAUAGACUCUGUCCAGCCCUGUUCUGUAGUCUCAAGCUGCCUGCGAUGGCCUGAAAUUCCACCUUUCAUCCCCUAUGGAUGACAGAGAGCUUACAGAAGACCUUAUUGAAUGCAAGCACCUUUGGUGAGGAGCAUCACAGGGCUCCUUCUGGAGCAUUUGGUGGGGACAGCUGCAGAGAAGAGGCCUGGAACUCGGGCAGCACUGCAGCGCCAGGAGGCAGGCAGGGAACCGAGGCAAAGGCUGCCCAUCUCCCCCUGCCAGGCCUGUGUGAUCAUUAUCACCAACAGCUGGUGGGUGGCCGGGCCAGGAUGCAGCGGGGCCUUCUGAUGCCCAAUCAGCACGGCUGCCUUCCUGGCCCAGUCAAGGCCUCUGUCUGAAAUGAGUGGCUCCAGGUUCUCAGCAUACACUUCCAUCGCGUCUGUCGGAUAUUGUUCCUUAACUGUCCCAUCUGUGCAGAGUCCGUUGCCCCAACUAGACUGUGAGCUCCUCCUCUGAGCCUUCCAAGUCCUCCCUCCACCUCCGCCACCUCCCGCUCGUGCCCAGCACAAGUGAGCCUGGUGUGGAAACCACUCCAUUGCCCGGUGGAAUGGAUUCUGUAAUCAGUGGUUCCUGGCCUUGCCUGCAGAAUAGAACCACCAGAGUCCUUUAAAAAGCAUUGCUGCUUGGUUCCCACCUCAGAGGUUCUGAGUUAAUUGGACUGGAGCACAGUCGGACAUCAGAAAUGUUGAAAAGCUCCUUGGGUUCUCCUGACAGCAGGAACCACUGGCCUGGCACCACCUGGGUGCUUCCUCUGUGCCCUCGCUGGGGUAGGCAUUGGAGCACCAGAGAUGAAUAGCCCCAAGUGCUCCCUCUUUGGGGUUCCCAAGGCACCCUGUGCCUGCUUCCCUCAGAGGACCUUCCAAUCCAUUUGCCCCGCAACCCUGGCUGCUCCGACAGGGGGGACUUGUCUCCCUUGUUCCCCUCAGGAUCCAUAGAGCGGACAGUAAAGGUGCUCAGUACAUGUUGGCUGAGCUGAACUGUAUACAUGUGGCCCCCAGGUUCCUGGUCUUUAUGGAAGAAGGGCACAAGGUGGAGGGGGGAUGGGGGGAUGCUGCUGGAGGUCUCAGUGGGUGCAGACAGCCCUGCCUUGAGGAUGGCUUGACCUGGGAUUGACAAAGUGUGUCUGCUGAAAUGCUGAGGUCCCCACGUGUGAAUGGGUGAGGCUGAUGUGUAUGUCUGUGUGUGCCAGCAGGUGGGUGGGGGAUGUGGGUGUCAGUGUAUGCCAGUGGGCACUGUGAAUGUCUAGGCAUGUGCUGGUCUCUGUGUGUUUGUGUGUUCCUCAGCAGGAAUGAGUGUCUUUGUGUAUCACCACGUGACUUGUCAGUGUCUGUGUCUGUGUGUGCCUGUGAGCCAGCAUCUCUGUAUCAGUGUUGCUCAUGCUGUGUGUCUUUGUGCGCCGUGGUGUGUCAGUGUCUGUGUGUUGAUGGGUGGCCCAUGAGUGACCCCCGCCAGGGGAGACCAGGCUGGCUGGAUCCAGCACAUCUCCCCAGUGGCAGCCUCGCCCUCUGGGUCAGGGUGACUGAGGCAUUUUGUGGCCUUAAAACGGGGUGUUCAGGGUCAGCCCUCAGGGUGCUGGGGCCCUUCCAUCCCUUGUCCCCUUCAGGUUGGUGAAAAGGACUCCGGGGGCCAGGUGCUGUAUAGCAGCUUAUGGAAGUCUCAGCUGGCCUAUCCUGCCCUUGGGAGCACAGACAGGCUCCUAGGGUGCUGAGUGAAGCCUGAAGACCAAGCCCCCUCCUCCUGGAAUGCUCCUUCCACCCCUGCCUCUCAGAGAUGGGCCUGACACCUCUUUCUCAUUCAUUCUCCUUUUCCCUGUGCUCUGGGAAAGCCCCUGGCUCAGGCUGUCAGAGUGAGGAUGGACCUCAAAAGUUCAAUCCCCUCGUGCAGAUGAAGAAGCUGAAGCCCAGAAUGGGGAAGGGGAGUGGCCCAAGGUCACACAGCUAGUUUGAGUAGAGCCAGUCUUGGGAGAGCCAAGUGCUACAGCCCUGGGGGUGUCAUACCACUUGUCACUGCCCCUGAGGUCUCCUGCCAAACAACUGCAGGGAGAUUGGCUAACACUCCUGUCUCCAG